GACGAACGCUGGCGGCGUGCCUAAUACAUGCAAGUAGAACGCUGAAGGAGGAGCUUGCUUCUCUGGAUGAGUUGCGAACGGGUGAGUAACGCGUAGGUAACCUGCCUGGUAGCGGGGGAUAACUAUUGGAAACGAUAGCUAAUACCGCAUAAGAGUAGAUGUCGCAUGACAUUUGCUUAAAGGGUGCAAUUGCAUCACUACCAGAUGGACCUGCGUUGUAUUAGCUAGUUGGUGAGGUAACGGCUCACCAAGGCAACGAUACAUAGCCGACCUGAGAGGGUGAUCGGCCACACUGGGACUGAGACACGGCCCAGACUCCUACGGGAGGCAGCAGUAGGGAAUCUUCGGCAAUGGACGGAAGUCUGACCGAGCAACGCCGCGGGAGUGAAGAAGGUUUUCGGAUCGUAAAGCUCUGUUGUAAGAGAAGAACGAGUGUGAGAGUGGAAAGUUCACACUGUGACGGUAUCUUACCAGAAAGGGACGGCUAACUACGUG
rnacentral:rRNA from 1 species